UACGUAGGGGGCAAGCGUUAUCCGGAUUUACUGGGUGUAAAGGGGGCGCAGACGGCAGCGCAAGCCAGGAGUGAAAGCCCGGGGCCCAACCCCGGCCGGCCGUUGAAACUGGCGUGCUCGAGUUGGAGAGAAGUAUGCGGAAUUCGUGGUGUAGCGGUGAAAUGCAUAGAUAUCACGAAGAACCCCGAUUGCGAAGGCAGCAUACCGGCUCCACACUGACGCUGAGGCACGAAAGCGUGGGUAUCGAACAGG
rnacentral:rRNA from 1 species